rnacentral:misc_RNA from 1 species
UCACUCCUUGCGGAGGCAGUCUGUCUAGAGUCCCCGGCAUUACCCGCUGGCAACUAAACAUAGGGGUUGCGCUCGUUGCGGGACUUAACCCAACACCUCACGGCACGAGCUGACGACGGCCAUGCAGCACCUUGUUUUGUGUCCCGAAGGACGUGACCAUUUCUGACCACUUCACGCACAUUCUAGCCCAGGUAAGGUUCCUCGCGUAUCAUCGAAUUAAACCACAUGCUCCACCACUUGUGCGGGCCCCCGUCAAUUCCUUUGAGUUUCACCGUUGCCGGCGUACUCCCCAGGUGGGAUACUUACCGCUUUCGCUUAGUCGCGGACUGUCUAUCGCCCACGACGAGUAUCCAUCGUUUACGGCGUGGACUAC